rnacentral:rRNA from 1 species
UGCUUACACAUGCAAGUCGAACGGUCUUUUCGGAGAUAGUGGCGGACGGGUGAGUAACGCGUGAGAAUCUGGCUUCAGGUCGGGGACAACCACUGGAAACGGUGGCUAAUACCGGAUAUGCCGAGAGGUGAAAGGCUAGCUGCCUGAAGAUGAGCUCGCGUCUGAUUAGCUAGUAGGUGUGCUAAAGGCGCACCUAGGCGACGAUCAGUAGCUGGUCUGAGAGGAUGAUCAGCCACACUGGGACUGAGACACGGCCCAGACUCCUACGGGAGGCAGCAGUGGGGAAUUUUCCGCAAUGGGCGAAGGCCUGACGGAGCAAUACCGCGUGAGGGAGGAAGGCUCUUGGGUUGUAAACCUCUUUUCUCAGGGAAGAAAAAAAUGACGGUACCUGAGGAAUAAGCAUCGGCUAACUCCGUGCCAGCAGCCGCGGUAAUACGGAGGAUGCAAGCGUUAUCCGGAAUGAUUGGGCGUAAAGGGUCCGCAGGUGGCCAUGUAAGUCUGCUGUUAAAGAAUGAGGCUUAACCUCAUCAGAGCGGUGGAAACUACAGAGCUAGAGUGCGGUCGGGGUAGAGGGAAUUCCUGGUGUAGCGGUGAAAUGCGUAGAUAUCAGGAAGAACACCAGUGGCGAAAGCGCUCUACUAGACCAUAACUGACACUGAGGGGACGAAAGCUAGGGGAGCGAAUGGGAUUAGAUACCCCAGUAGUCCUAGCCGUAAACGAUGGAUACUAGGCGUGGCUUGUAUCGACCCGAGCCGUGCCGGAGCUAACGCGU